rnacentral:rRNA from 1 species
UACGUAGGGGGCGAGCGUUGUCCGGAAUUAUUGGGCGUAAAGCGCGCGCAGGCGGUUCGUUAAGUCCGGCGUUUAAGCCCGGGGCUCAACCCCGGUACGCGCGGGAAACUGGCGGACUGGAGUGCAGGAGAGGGAAGCGGAAUUCCACGUGUAGCGGUGAAAUGCGUAGAGAUGUGGAGGAACACCAGUGGCGAAGGCGGCUUCCUGGCCUGUAACUGACGCUGAGGCGCGAAAGCGUGGGGAGCAAACAGG